AUUAGAUACCCGUGUAGUCCAGGGUGUAAACGCUGCAGACUUGGUGUUGGAAGUUCCGUUUGGGGGCAUUCAGUGCCGGAGAGAAGUUGUUAAGUCUGCUACGUUGGGAGUACGUCCGCAAGGAUAGAAAACUUAAAGGAAUUGGCGGGGAGCACCACAACGGGUGGAGCCUGCGGUUUAAUUGGACUCAACGCCGGAAAUCUCACCGGAUAGGACAGACAUAUGAUAGUCGGGCUGAAGACUCUACUUGAUGAUCUG
rnacentral:rRNA from 1 species